rnacentral:rRNA from 1 species
GACGAACGCUGGCGGCGUGCUUAACACAUGCAAGUCGAACGGUAAGGCCCUUCGGGGUACACGAGUGGCGAACGGGUGAGUAACACGUGGGUGAUCUGCCCUGCACUUCGGGAUAAGCCUGGGAAACUGGGUCUAAUACCGGAUAGGACCACUGCCUGCAUGGGUGGUGGUGGAAAGCUUUUGCGGUGUGGGAUGGGCCCGCGGCCUAUCAGCUUGUUGGUGGGGUGAUGGCCUACCAAGGCGACGACGGGUAGCCGGCCUGAGAGGGUGACCGGCCACAGUGGGAGUGAGAUACGGCCGAGACGCCGACGGGAGGCAGGAGUGGGAAAUAUUGCACGAUGGGCGCAAGCCUGAUGCAGCGACGCCGCGUGAGGGAUGACGGGCUUCGGGUUGUAAACCUCUUUCAGCACCGACGAAGCGCAAGUGACGGUAGGUGCAGAAGAAGGACCGGCCAACUACGUGCCAGCCGCCGCAGUAA